rnacentral:rRNA from 1 species
UACGUAGGGGGCAAGCGUUAUCCGGAAUUACUGGGUGUAAAGGGAGCGUAGACGGCAGCGCAAGUCUGGAGUGAAAUGCCGGGGCCCAACCCCGGAACUGCUUUGGAAACUGUGCGGCUCGAGUGCGGGAGAGGUAGGCGGAAUUCCUAGUGUAGCGGUGAAAUGCGUAGAUAUUAGGAGGAACACCAGUGGCGAAGGCGGCUUACUGGACCGUAACUGACGUUGAGGCUCGAAAGCGUGGGGAGCAAACAGG